rnacentral:rRNA from 1 species
CCUACGGGUGGCUGCAGUGGGGAAUAUUGCACAAUGGGCGCAAGCCUGAUGCAGCCAUGCCGCGUGUGUGAAGAAGGCCUUCGGGUUGUAAAGCACUUUCAGCGGGGAGGAAGGCGGGGAGGUUAAUAACCUCAUCGAUUGACGUUACCCGCAGAAGAAGCACCGGCUAACUCCGUGCCAGCAGCCGCGGUAAUACGGAGGGUGCAAGCGUUAAUCGGAAUUACUGGGCGUAAAGCGCACGCAGGCGGUCUGUCAAGUCGGAUGUGAAAUCCCCGGGCUCAACCUGGGAACUGCAUUCGAAACUGGCAGGCUAGAGUCUUGUAGAGGGGGGUAGAAUUCCAGGUGUAGCGGUGAAAUGCGUAGAGAUCUGGAGGAAUACCGGUGGCGAAGGCGGCCCCCUGGACAAAGACUGACGCUCAGGUGCGAAAGCGUGGGGAGCAAACAGGAUUAGAUACCCUUGUAGUC